UGACACUAUUUCCAAUAGUGCUGGUAUUCAUUAGCCAAUGAAGUAAGAUCUGGCAAGAAUAAAUUUUACACCGUAAUUUACAUAUUUUCAGUCAGAAGUCCAUAAUAUUUCAUGAACAUUUUAUCACAUAUUAUUUCAGAAACUAAUGAAGAAGUAAUAGAGAUGUAAAGUUAUAAUUCUCCUUUGGUUAGAAAAAAUACUUCUUAAUUCUACUUAUAGAUAUUUCAUGGAUAUUGUUCAUUCAAACCCUGAAAAAUGAAUUUUGUUUAGAAACAGUAGCAACAAAAUUCUAUGGCAACAUGGUUUUCCAAAAUGUAUGACUAUAAAAGGAAAACACUAUUAUAAAAGAUUAUUUAGCAAGAUGUAUUUUUUUCCUUAGUUCUGAAAGUCUGACUUUUUGGAAUAUAUCAGGACAAACAAACUCAGAAUUGUAAUACUGUAAUGAUUUGUUCAAUAGAAUUAAUUCAUUUUUGUAAGUCAUAGAAAGCAGAUGGUUAGGGGAACUGAACAGGUGAUUAUAUCUGUUAAUUCACACUGACAAAAUAUAGAUGAGGAUUUAAUAGAAACCAUUAAAAUAAAUUCAUAUACAACUAAAACACCAGCUCUUUCACACCUAAUGCUUGGUAAUUGAAUUAGUUUCAUUCCCUGAAUAAUGACCAGAUUAUUGGACAUUACAUUGACAUUUAUUGAGCUUACAUCUUAUACUUUUAAGUGACUCUUCUAAUUUUCAAAGAUGUAAAUUAGGGAAACAUAAAGGAAUAAGUGAUGUUAUAUAACUUCCCUCAUCUGUAUUUUCACAGCUAUCCACACUGCUAUGUUCUAUUAUCAUUACCUAUGAAGCAGCCAGUUCCAUUCCUUUUUACCACACCACAAAUCUCUCUUUCAUAGGGGGCACUUUAAUAAACAUUACUCCAUGAGCUUACAGGUAGUGUUAUCUAUUUAUGGAUAUUAAGAAUGAUCUGGACAGAGGGGUAUGUUAUUUUUAACUUCUCAGCAAAAUCAAGAGAGUGUUGUUUUAAAGGGAAAGAUAAUUUAUGCUAGCUAGUCAUAUUUUUUCAGCCUCCAUCAUUUUAGAAGAUCCUUGAAAUAUUUGUUAAUUUAUGUUAAAAAAGAAUUUCUUAUUUAAAACGUGGUUGGGCACAAUUAAAUCAAAUGUGAAAUUGUUAAUGUAUUUCAAUGAUCUUUGAUUAAUCAGGAUUAGAUAAAAGAAGCAAGACUGCAUUAGGAAUAGCUUGGUUUACUUGUUAUUUGUUUUUAUUCCCCACUGGUUGAAUGUGUCGUGAUGGAGGAAUAUGUGGCUUCUGCUCUGUCAGAUUGUGAGGCUUAGAUGUGAACUACAUACUUAGCAACACUCAAUCACAAUAUAAUUUAGUGCAGAUCAAAUAAUCUGAUUCUACAUGUAGCAAACGAUUUUCCAUUUUACAGUUGACUAGACAGUGUGUAGCACACCGUGCAUACCAUUAGUAGUUCAAAACAAUAAAAUAAUAUAGACAUUCUAUUAACUGACUGAACUAAAUGAAAUACAAUGUUUAUUUUAAAUUUUUCUGUGGGCGUUGGAUUCUCCUUAAUGUUUUCUGACCGAUCUUCAAUUCAAUGGGGUUUAAUUUAACACAAUGACAUUUGUCUCUGAUGGAUAUGAAUAAUACAUAUACUGAAAACAUUAAUUACUAAAGCAGUAUAAAGCAUUCUUUGGGUGCUUUAACUAAUUUUAUAAAAGGAAUUCCAUCUCCUCAGAAUCAUAAGUGGUACAUUCUCUUUUCACUUUGUAUCAUUCUGUUUGGUUGAUUAAGGCUUUGCAUAACUAACCAGCCACAGGAAUAAGUAGUGUGUGCGACUAAUGUCAGCAUGACUUGGCAGCCAUGAAUAAAUCAAAGCAUCCAUGAAUAAAGGUGCUGAGCUUAUAUAUGAUAAUUUAUGUAACAGUACUUAGAAAACCCAAGCACUGGAAGUGUAAGGUGUUAUUAUUACGAUGAUAUGCCUGUAUUUCCAUACCAGAAGAAUGAUAACCAAAUCUAUUGUAAGGCAGGAUUAUUAGAAAACAAUGAAGCUAAUUCUAAUGAUGAUUUAUAAGUGUCUUCUAUAUUUGAAACACCAAGAAAAAUGAGCUAUCACCAAAAAAGAAUUCUAAUAAUACUCACAGACAUUCCAGAAACUUCUCCACUGAAAAAGAACAUAUACUUUCUUUUUGUCUCUGUGUAAUGGGAAAUGUUUUGUUUUUUAAAAAAGGGGGUAGAGUGGGGAAGACACUUUUUGUUUACAUAUUUUUAUUGGAUAUUUUAUUUAUUUACAUUUCAAAUAUUAUCCCCUUUAUAGGAGGUUUCUGUGUGUGUGUGUGGGGGGGGUAUUAAAAAAAAUUUUAUCCCUAAAGUUAAAGGGCAGGGCAAAACAAGUAAUCAGAAAUUAGGAAAACUUUAUUCCUAGUUUUCUACAUGAGCACAAAGUGACUUACUCACCAAGCCUCUCUUUUUACAUUACAGAUGUAUUCAAAACGUCCACUUUACAAAAUUUGGUAGAAUAAAACAUUCAGGUACAUGCCGCUAAUCUGAGUAUGUAAUGUGUUCAGUGUUUUAAAGUUUCCUCUGUGCGUCCUAGCUGAGUAUUAACUAAUAACUGAGUAUUACCUGAGCAUGAAUUCACCAAUUUGGUUCUUUUACUACGUUCUGUUUAUAAACUUG
rnacentral:lncRNA from 1 species